UGUCUUUUUGGGGGGAAUUGGGCCCCCUGUCUUCUCCGCACCCGGGGCCCCUAAGCAGCAGUGUCUGGCCACGCCCCCGCAGUGGGAGGUCGGCCUCCGCUGGUGGCCACAGAUGGCCUAAGGCUGGCGGGUCUUUGAUUGGCCCCGGCUUUGCCCUGGCCACACCCCCCUCUGCGCUGGGAUUGGCUUAGUGCUGGGGUUCCCACCCACCCACAGGCCGCAAUGGCGUCUCAGCUCCAGAACCGGCUCCGCUCCGCACUGGCCUUGGUCACAGGUGCGGGGAGCGGCAUCGGCCGAGCAGUCAGUGUACGCCUGGCCGGAGAGGGGGCCACCGUAGCUGCCUGCGACCUGGACGGGGCAGCGGCACAGGAGACGGUGCGGCUGCUGGGCGGGCCAGGGAACAAGGAGGGGCCGCCCCGAGGGAACCACGCUGCCUUCCAGGCUGACGUGUCUGAGGCCAGAGCCGCCAGGCGCCUGCUGGAACAAGUGCAGGCCUGCUUUUCUCGCCCACCAUCUGUCGUUGUGUCCUGUGCGGGCAUCACCCAGGAUGAGUUUCUGCUGCACAUGUCUGAGGAUGACUGGGACAAAGUCAUAGCUGUCAACCUCAAGGGUACCUUCCUAGUCACUCAGGCUGCAGCACAAGCCCUGGUGUCCAGUGGUUGUCGUGGUUCCAUCAUCAACAUCAGUAGCAUCACAGGAAAGGUGGGGAACAUGGGGCAGACAAACUAUGUAGCAUCCAAGGCUGGAGUGAUUGGGCUGACCCAGACUGCAGCCCGGGAGCUUGGACGACAUGGGAUCCGCUGUAACUCUGUCCUCCCAGGGUUCAUUGCAACACCCAUGACACAGAAAGUGCCACAGAAAGUGGUGGACAAGAUUACUGAAAUGAUCCCGAUGGGAUACUUGGGGGACCCUGAGGGUGAGCACUGAAUGGAGAGGAGUCCCUGGGAAGGGGGCCUGAAUGAAGAGAUCCCCAAGGUUUUGGGAUUUUCUACGGGACUGGUGAUGUGGCAGAUGUGGUCGCAUUCUUGGCAUCUGAAGACAGUGGAUACAUCACAGGGGCCUCAGUGGAAGUCACUGGAGGUCUUUUCAUGUAACUGCCUCAAGCACCCUGGACUCUGCUCACCCCCCAUCACUCUGCCUGGCCUCCUGCUGAUGAGGACUCUAAGUUCCCAGGCUACAAAAGGGGUGGCAGUGUAUGGCUCAGGAAUGCUGAAUAUGGGAAGCAGGGGUGCUUGUGACCCUAAUAAAUUCCAAAUCCUCUUCCCUGCCA